rnacentral:rRNA from 1 species
UACGUAGGGGGCAAGCGUUGUCCGGAAUCAUUGGGCGUAAAGCGCGUGUAGGCGGCCCGAUAAGUCCGCUGUGAAAGUCCAGGGCUCAACCCUGGGAUGCCGGUGGAUACUGUCGGGCUCGAGUCCGGAAGAGGAGUGUGGAAUUCCUGGUGUAGCGGUGAAAUGCGCAGAUAUCAGGAGGAACACCGGUGGCGAAGGCGGGUCUCUGGGCAGUAACUGACGCUGAGGAGCGAAAAGCGUGGGGGAGCGAACAGG